rnacentral:rRNA from 1 species
AGAACUCUGAAUAGAGAGUUAAACAGUACGUGAAACUGCCUUAGAGGUUAAGCCCGAUGAACCUGAAUAUCCGUUAUGGAAAAUUCAUCAUUAAAUUGUAAUAUUUAAAUAAUAUUAUGAGAAUAGUGUGCAUUUUUUCCAUAUAAGGACAUUGUAAUCUAUUAGCAUAUACCAAAUUUAUCAUAAAAUAUAACUUAUAGUUUAUUCCAAUUAAAUUGCUUGCAUUUUAACACAGAAUAAAUGUUAUUAAUUUGAUAAAGUGCUGAUAGAUUUAUAUGAUUACAGUGCGUUAAUUUUUCGGAAUUAUAUAAUGGCAUAAUUAUCAUUGAUUUUUGUGUUUAUUAUAUGCACUUGUAUGAUUAACAAUGCGAAAGAUUCAGAUACCUUCGGGACCCGUCUUGAAACACGGACCAAGGAGUCUAACAUAUGUGCAAGUUAUUGGGAUAUAAACCUAAUAGCGUAAUUAACUUGACUAAUAAUGGGAUUAGUUUUUUAGCUAUUUAUAGCUAAUUAACACAAUCCCGGGGCGUUCUAUAUAGUUAUGUAUAAUGUAUAUUUAUAUUAUUUAUGCCUCUAACUGGAACGUACCUUGAGCAUAUAUGCUGUGACCCGAAAGAUGGUGAACUAUACUUGAUCAGGUUGAAGUCAGGGGAAACCCUGAUGGAAGACCGAAACAGUUCUGACGUGCAAAUCGAUUGUCAGAAUUGAGUAUAGGGGCGAAAGACCAAUCGAACCAUCUAGUAGCUGGUUCCUUCCGAAGUUUCCCUCAGGAUAGCUGGUGCAUUUUAAUAUUAUAUAAAAUAAUCUUAUCUGGUAAAGCGAAUGAUUAGAGGCCUUAGGGUCGAAACGAUCUUAACCUAUUCUCAAACUUUAAAUGGGUAAGAACCUUAACUUUCUUGAUAUGAAGUUUCAAGGUUAUGAUAUAAUGUGCCCAGUGGGCCACUUUUGGUAAGCAGAACUGGCGCUGUGGAUGAACCAAACGUAAUGUUACGGUGCCCAAAUUAACAACUCAUGCAGAUACCAUGAAAGGCGUUGGUUGCUUAAAACAGCAGGACGGUGAUCAUGGAAGUCGAAAUCCGCUAAGGAGUGUGUAACAACUCACCUGCCGAAGCAACUAGCCCUUAAAAUGGAUGGCGCUUAAGUUGUAUACCUAUACAUUACCGCUAAAGUAGAUGAUUUAUAUUACUUGUGAUAUAAAUUUUGAAACUUUAGUGAGUAGGAAGGUACAAUGGUAUGCGUAGAAGUGUUUGGCGUAAGCCUGCAUGGAGCUGCCAUUGGUACAGAUCUUGGUGGUAGUAGCAAAUAAUCGAAUGAGACCUUGGAGGACUGAAGUGGAGAAGGGUUUCGUGUGAACAGUGGUUGAUCACGAGUUAGUCGGUCCUAAGUUCAAGGCGAAAGCCGAAAAUUUUCAAGUAAAACAAAAAUGCCUAACUAUAUAAACAAAGCGAAUUAUAAUACACUUGAAUAAUUUUGAACGAAAGGGAAUACGGUUCCAAUUCCGUAACCUGUUGAGUAUCCGUUUGUUAUUAAAUAUGGGCCUCGUGCUCAUCCUGGCAACAGGAACGACCAUAAAGAAGCCGUCGAGAGAUAUCGGAAGAGUUUUCUUUUCUGUUUUAUAGCCGUACUACCAUGGAAGUCUUUCGCAGAGAGAUAUGGUAGAUGGGCUAGAAGAGCAUGACAUAUACUGUUGUGUCGAUAUUUUCUCCUCGGACCUUGAAAAUUUAUGGUGGGGACACGCAAACUUCUCAACAGGCCGUACCAAUAUCCGCAGCUGGUCUCCAAGGUGAAGAGUCUCUAGUCGAUAGAAUAAUGUAGGUAAGGGAAGUCGGCAAAUUAGAUCCGUAACUUCGGGAUAAGGAUUGGCUCUGAAGAUUGAGAUAGUCGUCGGGCUUGAUUGGGAAACAAUAACAUGGUUUAUGUGCUCGUUCUGGGUAAAUAGAGUUUCUAGCAUUUAUGUUAGUUACUUGUUCCCCGGAUAGUUUAGUUACGUAGCCAAUUGUGGAACUUUCUUGCUAAAAUUUUUAAGAAUACUAUUUGGGUUAAACAAUUAGUUCUUAUUAAUUAUAACGAUUAUCAAUUAACAAUCAAUUCAGAACUGGCACGGACUUGGGGAAUCCGACUGUCUAAUUAAAACAAAGCAUUGUGAUGGGCCCUAGCGGGUGUUGACACAAUGUGAUUUCUGCCCAGUGCUCUGAAUGUCAAAGUGAAGAAAUUCAAGUAAGCGCGGGUCAACGGCGGGAGUAACUAUGACUCUCUUAAGGGGAUCAUGGGGUAUUGGAGAGCAGAGGGGGAGUAUUCUUCUGUAAUUCGUAAGUCAUAUCAUAUGAUGUGCGGAAGGGGAAUUUUACUCUGUAACUCACAAGUCUCUCCUUUACUCAAGUCGACUCAAAACCUCCUCGUGGUGGUCCCCGGUAAUGCUAAACUCGUUUAGCAGCUAAUUUGAGCGGCAAAACUUUUCCGAUGGGCUGGUUCCCCAGAGGAAAUUUAUUCAUAUUGGAACUACAAGCACAAAUAACGAGCCUCGGAUACCUUUACACAAUCUGAUGACGACCCGACCCUCCGUGGAUAUCUUCCCGGAGGACCAAUAUGAACCAAACGCAGCGGCUACUCUAUCUAGGGUUCCCUGCACAGUAUGUGGCCGGUCCUUUAACAGCAAGAGAGGACUCGGUGUUCACAUGCGAUCUCGGCACCCAGACGAACUUGAUGAAGAACGUCGACGUGUCGAUAUAAAGGCAAGAUGGAGUGAUGAAGAGAAGUGGAUGAUGGCGAGAAAGGAGGUUGAGCUCACAGCAAAUGGAUGUAAACACAUAAACAAGCAACUAGCGGUGUAUUUUGCAAACCGCAGCGUCGAAGCCAUCAAA